rnacentral:lncRNA from 1 species
GCUGCAAAAGUACAAUGUUGAGGAAGAUCCGACAGAUCUGGCUCCUCCUCCGCUCUCCUCUUCUCUCUCCCUAUUUUCUAGAUUACAACUAGAACUAACUAGAACUAGAACUAGAGAAACUAGAACUAGAACUAGAACUAGAUGAACUAGAACUAGAACUAGAUGAACUAGAAGUAGAACUAGAAGAACUAGAGGGAUCCUCUCUACUUGGAUGAAGAAUUGAAACCCUAGCUUUGAUUCUGUAGAAGAGGUAUGAUCUUCAGGGGCCAGGGGGUCUGGUUUUAUAGUCCCUUCAAGUGAAUCUGGGCCAUUGGAUCAAACCGACAUUAAUCGCAUG